CUGACUGCUAUCGGAUUGAUACUAAGCCAUGCGAGUAAUUGUAGCAAUACAAGGCAGACGGCUCAGUAACGCGUAGUCAACCUACCCUAUGGACGGGAAUAACCUCGGGAAACUGAGAAUAAUGCCCGAUAGAACAUUAUGCCUGGAAUGGUUUAUGUUCCAAAUGAUUUAUCGCCGUAGGAUGGGACUGCGGCCUAUCAGUUUGUUGGUGAGGUAAUGGCCCACCAAGACUAUUACAGGUACGGGCUCUGAGAGGAGUAGCCCGGAGAUGGGUACUGAGACACGGACCCAGGCCCUAUGGGGCGCAGCAGGCGAGAAAACUUUGCAAUGUGCGAAAGCACGACAAGGUUAAUCCGAGUGGUUUCUGCUAAAGGAACCUUUUGUCGGUCCUAGAAACACCGAUGAAUAAGGGGUGGGCAAGUUCUGGUGUCAGCCGCCGCGGUAAAACCAGCACCUCAAGUGGUCAGGAUGAUUAUUGGGCCUAAAGCAUCCGUAGCCGGCGCUAUAAGUUUUCGGUUAAAUCUGUACGCUCAACGUACAGGCUGCCGGGAAUACUGUAGCGCUAGGGAGUGGGAGAGGUAGACGGUACUCGGUAGGAGGGGGUAAAAUCCUUUGAUCUAUUGAUGACCACCUGUGGCGAAGGCGGUCUACCAGAACACGUCCGACGGUGAGGGAUGAAAGCUGGGGGAGCAAACCGGAUUAGAUACCCGGGUAGUCCCAGCUGUAAACUAUGC
rnacentral:rRNA from 1 species